rnacentral:tRNA from 1 species
GUCUCAGUGGCGCAAUGGUAGCGCGUUGGACUUCUACCACUUAUUCUGGUCAUCCAAAGGCUGCGGGUUCGAGCCCCGCCUGAGAUG